rnacentral:rRNA from 1 species
AGCAGCCGCCACGGUAAUACGGAGGAUCCAAGCGUUAUCCGGAAUCAUUGGGUUUAAAGGGUCCGUAGGCGGUCUUGUAAGUCAGUGGUGAAAGCCCAUCGCUCAACGGUGGAACGGCCAUUGAUACUGCAGGACUUGAAUUAUUGGGAAGUAACUAGAAUAUGUAGUGUAGCGGUGAAAUGCUUAGAGAUUACAUGGAAUACCAAUUGCGAAGGCAGGUUACUACCAAUUGAUUGACGCUGAUGGACGAAAGCGUGGGUAGCGAACAGGAUUAGAUACCCCUGUAGUCCCUGUCUCUUAUAC